rnacentral:rRNA from 1 species
UGGGGAAUAUUGCACAAUGGGCGAAAGCCUGAUGCAGCGACGCCGCGUGCGGGAUGAAGGCCUUCGGGUUGUAAACCGCUUUUAAUUGGGAGCAAGCGAGAGUGAGUGUACCUUUUGAAUAAGCACCGGCUAACUACGUGCCAGCAGCCGCGGUAAUACGUAGGGUGCAAAGCGUUAUCCGGAAUUAUUGGGCGUAAAGAGCUCGUAGGCGGUUUGUCACGCCUGGUGUGAAAGUCCAUCGCUUAACGGUGGAUCUGCGCCGGGUAUGGGCAGGCUAGAGUGCAGUAGGGGAGAUUGGAAUUCCCGGUGUAACGGUGGAAUGUG